UACGUAGGGCGCAAGCGUUGUCCGGAAUUAUUGGGCGUAAAGAGCUCGUAGGCGGCCUGUUGCGUCCGCUGUGAAAUCCCGGGGCUCAACCCCGGGCCUGCAGUGGAUACGGGCUGGCUGGAGGCAGGCAGGGGAGAACGGAAUUCCUGGUGUAGCGGUGAAAUGCGCAGAUAUCAGGAGGAACACCGAUGGCGAAGGCAGUGGGCUGGGCCGGCACUGACGCUGAGGAGCGAAAGCGUGGGGAGCGAACAGG
rnacentral:rRNA from 1 species